AACAUAUGAAAUUAAAACAUAAAAAUUUAUUCUAGAUUUAUAAAGUAAUGUUUAAUUUGUUGUCCAUUUGAUUUAAUGCGUCCUUUGCAAUUAAAAUCUUGGUUACAGGGUGUCUCAAGUAGAAACUAGGACGCCAACAUUAAUUAAUAACCUAUUUCCAAAAGAAGUCCAAAAUAUGUGAAUAGUUAUAACAUUGUUAAUUUAAAGCAAAGAAUUCAAACAACUAGAUAAUCGAUCCGCAAGCGAUUGAAAAAGUGCAAUUGGAACUUAUUCUUCGACUUCAAAAAUGUAUUGAAGUAAAUGGACAACGAAUUCAACACCCAACACAAACAACAUUGAUAACAAACAACAUUUGUUGCAACAAAUAUUGUAUAAUUUUUUAGCUUCUAAUGCCGUGUAUUUCAUUAAUCUAUUAAGUCAAAUUUGACAAACCGCUGACUCUAGGCAUAUAGUAUGCUAUACAAAAAGUAUUCAGAAUAUAAUAAUAAUAUAAUAAUAAA